GCAGCUGCUCCGGUGGUGGGAUGGCCGCCGGUGCGCGCAUUCCGUCGCAACCUCGCUUCGACGUCGUUGUCCUCCAAGCCGUCCCGCGAGCCACCAUCAUGCCAGCAGAGAGGCAACAACGAGCCCGCAAGCAACAAGCCACGGAUGGCCGCCGUGGAGGCCGGCAACAAGGGCCUGUUCGUCAAGGUCAACAUGGACGGCGUCCCCAUCGGCCGGAAGCUCGACCUCGGCGCGCACGCCGGCUACGACACGCUUUCCGCCGCCGU
rnacentral:lncRNA from 1 species